GCGUCCCCAACCUCCUCCCUCUCCGGCGCCGCUGCUCGUUCAGCCCCUCCUCCCCUCGCCCCUCCACUGCCCCUCUCCCUCCCUCCUCGUGCCGAGCUGCAGCGACGAGGCCGGGAUCCAGGGCCCCUCGCCGUAUCCAUGGCGGGGCGGUGGAGGCCCGCGCGGUCGCGCGGUGAAGGCACGCCAUGGCCGCAGCGCCUUCGUCUCUGCGGAGGAGCAGGGGCCCGCCAUGGCCGCGGCGCGCGGCCGUCCUCCCUCUCCCUCCUCUCUCUCUCUCUCUCUCUCCCCCUGCUCCCAUCCUCGCUCGCUCCGCCGGCCUCCCUCCCUCCCCGCGCCGCCGCCAGCCGUCGCUCCCUCCCUCCCCGCGCGGCCGCCGGCCCUAGCUUCGCCCUCCCCGCCACCGACAAGGACAACCGAGGUCGGCGCCGGCGCCGCUCGCGCCGCGCGGGCUCUCGUCCUCCUUUCCCCCUCCUCCUCGGCGCUCCUGCGCAGCGCGGCGCUCGCGCGGCCUCCUCUCCCCACCGGCUCUCUCCUUCCCGCCGCUGCCCCAUCCCUGUGCCGCCGCCUCACCACGCUAGACGGUAGCGGGCAGCGACGGCGCCACCGGGUUGCGGUGUGGCACCAACCGCGUGCCCGGGCGGUGUCCGGCACCGACCGCUGCUCCACGCGAGCAGGCGCCGCUGGUGGCCGCCGGCGUUGCUGCCCCCCUCCCGGCGCUGCCUGCUCCCGUAGUACUGACGUGGACACCUCCAGAGCUCACGGAGCCGGCAGUCCCGACGUUCCACCCCAGCGAAGCGAAGGCGGCUGCGACCAAGGCGUUGACGGCGGCGGCAGGUGGGCGGCUCCCGACGGCUCAACAGCCAGGACGCUCAUGGCCGUGACGACCAUAGUUUGCCCGACGCACAAGGAGGCGGUCGCUCUGUAGCGGUAAGUAUCUUCGCUUCCGCAGCUUCCUUCUUCCCUGACACCUCUCUCUGCCUCAUGUUUUUCCUCAGAUCUAGCCAGCGCAGGCAGCUCGCGCCCGCCGAUGGCGGCGGCGGAGCACCGGCCCGUGCACAUAGGUGGGUGCUGCAGAGCACCGGCCCACGCGCACCGCAGGUGGUUGCGGCUUUAGCUACUAUUGGCAUUCCUUCCGAUCCUUCGAGCUUGCCUCCAUCGCCGACUUCUCAUCGUUGACCUCACCUUCGCCCGGGCGCCCUCGCCGCCUCCUCGCCGACCCUCUCUGUCUCCUGGUCCACCUCUCUGCAGCUCUCCUCCGGCUUCCCGCUCAAGCCGAUUUGCUGGAUCUCCGGCGGGUGCCGCCCUCCGCACCCUCUGCUCGUUGCUAACCGCUAUCUGCUAUGCUCCUCGAUUAGGAGGGGCCAAACUGAUCUAUGGAUUAAUUGCUCCUCUCUCCAGGCCAGGCAUGGUUAGCCUUCUGCGGAAGGAAUCUUAAGGCUGCACCACUAUAUAGGUAAUCCUUGAACAUUUCUUUCAUAUUCCCUUUGUCUAACUGCAAAGUUUAGUUCACUUGUGUACUAAGAUGUGUUAUUGCUGUCAAUUUUCAAGAUUUGGUAUUUGAAUUGUAGUAGUUGUUAAUUUGCUCCCUUUUGACUUCUUGAUCUACCUUGCAUAUACAAGAAAGUGCUGAAAAUGGAUCCGUGCUUGCCAAGCUACUUACAAUUUUCAAAGGUUUUUCUCCCUGCUCUCAUUUCUAGAGUGCCUUUACAUGUACACAAGCGGCUUCAGGAUGCUCUAAUAGAUUUGCAAGAGCUACUAUUGACUGCCUAGUUGCAAUUAUUACACAUAUUUGAUAAGAUGUCAGGGCCAAGCCUCUUCAACUCCUUUACUUCUGAGUUCUAUCCUUCCCUGGUAAGAGGUUGCUUUCCAAUGAUUUUGCAUUAGCAGCUAUUGUUAUUGAAAAAUUAUGUCUAGGGAGAUGCCAUCUUAGUAACACUGCAUAUUUACUUCGUCUUGAAAUUAGGUUCUUGCUAUCCCUGUGUUUCCCGUGUUAAGCAAGGUUAAAAUUUGAUGCUACUUGAGAUGAUCUGAUAGAUCUGCAUGUUUAGAACUGAUUGGUACUCAAAAUAUUCAUGACAUCUGAAUAUUUAAAUAUCUAUCUUAUGUCCAAAAGUCUGAACAUUAGAUAGGGUGCCUCAUGUAUGCACCUCCAAUUAGAUUGGACUGUGGGUAGCCACAGCUGAUAUAUUUGCGGUCUGAACUAUGGUUUCCAUGUGCUAAGAAAAACAGUGGACACAUCAUUUGAUGUUGGAGAUAAAUUGAUUAUGAUGAAAGAGAACAUAAGCACCUAAGGAAGCAGGUUUUCCUACCUGCUCCAUUGGAUUCUUAUUACUGAUACACUGUUGUUGAAUAUCUCCAAGCUAAUAAAGAAUUGAACUGAAACUUCAAAAUGAGACAAAAAAAUGGUAUUCGUAUGUCUAAAAAUAAUCAAACAAUUUGUUGCUAUGUCCGCCUUAUAUCCAUUCUGUAAUAUACUCACAUAUGCAUGUCCUGUUUACACUUUGUCUUAAUGGAACUUUUUCCUGUAUCUUAUGUUCAACUUAAGUUAAAAGGAUUGAGAACCUCAGUGAAAGCCUGGUUAACCUUCCAUUAUCAAUGCAAGUGGGAUUGAGUGGAGCUGCUUUGUAGUACCAUUUUUCCAUAGAAAUUUUGUUCUAGGCAAAAUGAUUAACCUUUUUAAGUCAGGGAACAUGACAUGGACUUUGACUGCUGAGGUUCCUACUGAAAUAUCACUGAAUGAAUACCACUUUUUAGCAAUCCUAUUAAAUUUACAUAUCUGAUUGGACCUGUUGGCGAAAUUGUACUUUCAGUUUAGCUCCAAGCAAUUGCUCUGAAUGCUGAACAAUUUCUGAAAAUUGAAUGAUAGGGAAAAAUUUCUUUUGAGAAAUGCAUCUACAUGUUGUCGACUGUUGUUCUACCACAGCUCUAAUUGGCUAAAGCAAAUUUCAUAUACGAAAGAGAAGGCUCAGCUCAGACUUGCACAGUAGUUUCUUAUCCAAAGUUUAAAAACAGUAGCUUUUGAGUGCAGACUCAUUAUUUUUCAUUUUGGUGCAGGUUCAUAGCAGAUUUUUCUUUGAUAUGGACUAUUUGAAUAUAACUAACCAAAUGCAAUUUGUUGCCUCACUAUCAUUGCCAAUGGUUAGUUCUGAUUUAUCUUCAUAUAAUUUUCUUUGCCUUACCAUGUGUGUUCCCUUAAGAUAUAAAUUUAUUUCCCUUUUGCUGGUUGGACUGGGAAGGAGGUAUUCUGAAGGUAGUGAGAUGUAUGUGCCUUGUUGGUUUCAAGCACCACAUUAGUUCUGUUCAGCUAGAGGUUGCCUCCCAUUUUCUUGGGAUGAUUCCUGUUUAACAGUAAUAUUUAAUUUCCUUCUGCCAUCUGCUUGAUUACAAGGUCUAAUCCUUUGGAUUUGUUUCUUCUUUUUUAUUUUCCAUUUCCAUUCUUAUUUCUGGAGAAGAGAUUGACAACCCUUUCAAACUCUGACUUCCUUCAUGGUGCACGUAUUAUCAUAUUACUUUUGACGUGUCAUGUAAGUAUGUAAGGGUUCCUCAACUUAUCUUAAAAAAGUAAACCACCUGCAGAUCCUUACUAAUUAUCUUUAUGUUUUGGGUCCAUAAGAAGCUCCAGCUUAGGCUUGCACAACAAAGAGAAUAUAUGAAGAGAUUAAAUACUAUGUAUAUGAGCCAAGGACAAUCAGUCCCAAGCAAAAAUAAAUCACCCACCACAAAAAAAAAACUUUCAUUCAUGUACCAUUUGUGUGAUUAUCGUGCAUCAUUCUCUAUUGAAAUCUAUGUACACAUAUGUAUCAAUAUGUAAUUUUUUCCUAGAAGGCUACCCUACUUUCUUGUUGUCUACUAUUUAUAAAUAAUGAUGUACAGCCAGAUGGAAUCACAUGAAAAAAAACAUGUACAGAAAGGGAGAGAGAAAGUAAUUUCUUUCAAUUUUGCAAUUACUUUUUUUACUGGUUGAUACCUGAUUUGAUUUUCCAAUUAGGAAAAUGAGUUGCCUCUUCCUCCUCGACUCCAAGCAACUCGAGAUGUCGUGAUGGUGGCCUGGGCGGUGUGUUAGGGCAACCACGCAUCAGCAGCAGACAGUUCAUCUAAGCCAAGCUGUCCAUCUAAAGCCAAGCUCAAGUUGCUCGUGUACAAACCAUGUUUGCAGAGACGAGGAGCGGCAUCAACGAGGGGAAUUAGCUCUGUACAACCUCAUACUAAAAAUGAAAUCUGGAACAAUUGAGAUUUUGCCAGCGGCUAUCAGGUGAAACAAGUCCCAAUCAAUCGUGUGCUCCCAAUCUCAUCAGAAUAAGGAAGCAACUAUGUUGAUGCAGCAUCAACUUCUAUCAUCAAACAAAACAUAAAUAUACCACCUCUUGUCUAAACUUUUGCAGGAUGUAAUGUCUAUAUUAAGGAGAAACCAAACCACUCUUUUCAGACCAUCCCAAAACAGCUGCAACUACAGCUCGAUUUUAGAUUAUGUACUUGGUAGUUUCUAGCCUUUUACUAGAGCACCAAAUGUGUGUUGUUGUAAUAUAAAUGUAAUAUACUGUCUAUUAUAAUUCCCUAUAAAUAAUGUAGAAUAUUAAUAUUAUAGUUA